UGAGAAGAAGGAGAUUGUGGUGUGAAUGU
rnacentral:piRNA from 1 species